rnacentral:rRNA from 1 species
AACGAACGCUGGCGGCAGGCCUAACACAUGCCAGUCGAACGAACUCUUCGGGGUUAGUGGCGGACGGGUGCGUAACACGUGGGAACGUGCCCUUUGGUUCGGAAUAACUCAGGGAAACUUGUGCUAAUACCGAAUGUGCUCUUCGGGGGAAAGAUUUAUCGCCAUUAGAGCGGCCCGCGUCGGAUUAGCUAGUUGGUGAGGUAACGGCUCACCAAGGCGACGAUCAGUAGCUGGUCUGAGAGGAUGACCAGCCACACUGGGACUGAGACACGGCCCAGACUCCUACGGGAGGCAGCAGUGGGGAAUCUUGCGCAAUGGGCGAAAGCCUGACGCAGCCAUGCCGCGUGAGUGAUGAAGGUCUUAGGAUUGUAAAAUUCUUUCACCGGGGACGAUAAUGACGGUACCCGGAGAAGAAGCCCCGGCUAACUUCGUG